AAAUUGAAGAGUUUGAUCAUGGCUCAGAUUGAACGCUGGCGGCAGGCCUAACACAUGCAAGUCGAACGGUAACAGGAAUCAGCUUGCUGAUUUGCUGACGAGUGGCGGACGGGUGAGUAAUGUCUGGGAAACUGCCUGAUGGAGGGGGAUAACUACUGGAAACGGUAGCUAAUACCGCAUAACGUCGCAAGACCAAAGAGGGG
rnacentral:rRNA from 1 species